rnacentral:rRNA from 1 species
UACGGAGGGUGCAAGCAUUAAUCGGAUUUAUUGGGCGUAAAGGGCGCGUAGGCGGGGAUAAUAGUCAGAUGUGAAAUCCUGGGGCUCAACCUCAGAACUGCAUUUGAAACUGUAUCCCUAGAGGGUAGGAGGAGAAAACGGAAUUCCACAAGUAGCGGUGAAAUGCGUAGAUAUGUGGAAGAACACCGGUGGCGAAGGCGGUUUUCUAUCUUAUUCCUGACGCUAAUGCGCGAAAGCAAGGGGAUCAAACAGG